CCCACUAGAGGACAAGGCUCUGGGGGAUAGUAUCCCACUAGAGGACGAGGCUAUGGAGGAUAGCAACUUUGAGAAAGCUAAGGUUGUAGAGGUGUAGUCCCACCAGAGGAUGAGGCUUUGAGGGAUAGCAGCUUUCGGCAUAGCCCACUAGAGGACAAGGUUCUGGGGGAUAGCAACUUUGAGAAAGCUGAGGAUGCAGAG
rnacentral:lncRNA from 1 species